rnacentral:rRNA from 1 species
UACAGAGGUCCCAAGCGUUGUUCGGAAUUACUGGGCGUAAAGGGCGCGUAGGCGGUCUGUUAAGUUCGGUGUGAAAGCCCCCGGCUCACCUGGGGAACUGCGCCGGAAACCGACAGACUCGAGUACCGGAGAGGAGGGUGGAAUUCCUGGUGUAGCGGUGAAAUGCGUAGAUAUCAGGAGGAACACCGGUGGCGAAGGCGGCCCUCUGGACGGAUACUGACGCUGAGGCGCGAAAGCGUGGGGAUCAAACAGG